UUUAACUGAAGAGUUUGAUCAUGGCUCAGAUUGAACGCUGGCGGCAGGCUUAACACAUGCAAGUCGAGCGGGGGAAGGUAGCUUGCUACUGGACCUAGCGGCGGACGGGUGAGUAAUGCUUAGGAAUCUGCCUAU
rnacentral:rRNA from 1 species